GACGAACGCUGGCGGCGCGCCUAACACAUGCAAGUCGAACGAGCGAGAGAGAGCUUGCUUUCUCAAGCGAGUGGCGAACGGGUGAGUAACGCGUGAGGAACCUGCCUCAAAGAGGGGGACAACAGUUGGAAACGACUGCUAAUACCGCAUAAGCCCACAGGUCGGCAUCGACCAGAGGGAAAAGGAGCAAUCCUCGUUGAGAUGGCCUCGCGUCCGAUUAGCUAGUUGGUGAGGUAACGGCCCACCAAGGCAACGAUCGGUAGCCGGGCUGAGAGGAUGAACGGCCACAUUGGGACUGGGACACGGCCCAGACUCCUACGGGAGGCAGCAGUGGGGAAUAUUGCACAAUGGGGGAAACACUGAUGCAGCGACGCCGCGUGGAGGAAGAAGGUCUGCGGAUUGUAAACUCCUGUUGUUGAGGAAGAUAAUGACGGUACUCAACAAGGAAGUGACGGCUAACUACGUG
rnacentral:rRNA from 1 species